GUGCUCGCUUCGGCCUCACAUAUACUAAAAUUGGAACGAUGCAGAGAAGAUUAGCAAGGCCCCAGCGCAAGGAUGACGCGCAAAUUUGUGAAGCGUUCCAUAUUUUU
rnacentral:snRNA from 1 species